rnacentral:rRNA from 1 species
AUUGAACGCUGGCGGCAGGCUUAACACAUGCAAGUCGAACGGUAACAUAAAGAAGCUUGCUUCUUUGAUGACGAGUGGCGGACGGGUGAGUAAUGCUUGGGAAUCUAGCUUAUGGAGGGGGAUAAUACGGGAAACUGUAGCUAAUACCGCGUAGUAUCGAGAGAUGAAAGUGUGGGACCUUCGGGCCACAUGCCAUAGGAUGAGCCCAAGUGGGAUUAGGUAGUUGGUGAGGUAAAGGCUCACCAAGCCGACGAUCUCUAGCUGGUCUGAGAGGAUGCCAGCUACACUGGGACUGAGGCACGGCCCAGACUCCUACGGGAGGCAGCAGUGGGGAAUAUUGCGCAAUGGGGGCAACCCUGACGCAGCCAUGCCGCGUGAAUGAAGAAGGCCUCCGGGUUGUAAAGUUCUUUCGGUAGCGAGGAAGGCAUUUAGUUUAAUAGACUAGGUGA